AAUAUAGCUUGUUGUUGACUCAAACGUAACAGUCCUACAGCUAGUAAUGAUCACCACGAACUUUGCAUAAGACAGAUGUGGAUGAUACUCGGGAUUUUAGAGCUGUCUUCGCAAGUUCACCUGUAUAGCCUCUCAAUGUCACUGCUAGCAAACACGAGCUAAAUGUUACUAGAACAACAUUCCAGACGGUUCGCUAACAUCUUGAGAUAAAACGCGGCGUUUAAAUUAAUUCUUCUGUAUAAAUUUACAGUGUAACAAUAUUGACCGUUUACAGAGAAAAUAAUUUAUGCUAUUACCUUGAUAAGCGGCGACACUGCAACUGGAGGAACCAUUGUGGAGCUAGGAAGUGACUUCCGGGUCAGGCGGAAGUCUUUAUUCUUCUGUUGAAUUUGGGGCAAAGUAUACGCAGCAAAGACGUAAUCGGACGGAAGUGCCUUUUUUUCCAGGAUAGAAAGUAAAAGCCUGGUUAAAGCUGCUUUAACAAAACUUUACCCUCGAACAAAUUUUCUGAAGCAUAAUAUUUCUGGUGUUGUUUUUUUUUUUCUCUUUUUCACUGCAAACCAACAGCGGACUAAAGCUAAGUGGACCCUGCACUCACCGAUUUCACCAGAUAGAAGGAUGUCAUGGCAAAGAAGACAGGUGAAAGAUGACCAGCAAAGGCCAGUAUAGAAAAUUAGACCAAUGAGAGAUAAAUAUGUGAACUUACUGGAUCCAUCCUGUGUACGUCCCAGCCAUUUUCCCUCUGGGUUGCCCUGGACGCGGAUGAUGUCCAGGCAGUCUCCCUGCUUAAGAGCAAGUUCAGUCUUACUGCCCCGGCAGUCCAUACGAGCCUUCCCUUGGUGGAUGGCCUCCAGGGGUCCAACCAGCUAACACACAGACACACACAGAACAAGAUAUUUGUCACUUUUUGUAGUGUAACAAAGGUCACGAAUAUAACUUAAUCAGGUCAGGCAAAGUAUAUUCAGUAGAUAGGGCAGACCAUGUUUGCGUGUGCAUGUGUUCUGUAUGUAAUGGAUUGAACAGAUCCUUGAAAAUAGGAAAGUGUUAUAUCUGUUAGAAGAAAAAUUGUAUAUUCUGGGAAAAUAAAGUCACUUUCUUUCCAUGA